GGAAACUCCAUGUGUAGCGGUGAAAUGCGUAGAUAUAUGGAAGAACACCAGUGGCGAAGGCGGCUGUCUGGUCUGUAACUGACGCUGAGGCUCGAAAGCAUGGGUAGCGAACAGGAUUAGAUACCCUGGUAGUCCAUGCCGUAAACGAUGAUUACUAAGUGUUGGAGGGUUUCCGCCCUUCAGUGCUGCAGCUAACGCAUUAAGUAAUCCGCCUGGGGAGUACGACCGCAAGGUUGAAACUCAAAAGAAUUGACGGGGGCCCGCACAAGCGGUGGAGCAUGUGGUUUAAUUCGAAGCUACGCGAAGAACCUUACCAGGUCUUGACAUCUUCUGCCAACCUAAGAGAUUAGGCGUUCCCUUCGGGGACAGAAUGACAGGUGGUGCAUGGUUGUCGUCAGCUCGUGUCGUGAGAUGUUGGGUUAAGGUCCCGCAACGAGCGCAACCCUUAUUACUAGUUGCCAGCAUUCAGUUGGGCACUCUAGUGAGACUGCCGGUGACAAACCGGAGGAAGGUGGGGACGACGUCAAAUCAUCAUGCCCCUUAUGACCUGGGCUACACACGUGCUACAAUGGAUGGUACAACGAGUCGCGAAACCGCGAGGUUUAGCUAAUCUCUUAAAACCAUUCUCAGUUCGGACUGUAGGCUGCAACUCGCCUACACGAAGUCGGAAUCCGCUAGUAAUCGCGGAUCAGCAUGCCGCGGUGAAUACGUUCCCGGGCCUUGUACACACCGCCCGUCACACCAUGAGAGUUUGUAACACCCAAAGCCGGUGGGGUAACCUUUUAGGAGCUAGCCGUCUA
rnacentral:rRNA from 1 species